UUCUUUUUUUCCUCUCAGAGAAGGAGACAACCAAGAGCUGUGGAUCUGGAGAAGCUGACACUGAUAGUGCCCAUCCCACACGUCCAGAAAGAAGUGAGGAAGCUUACAGCAUGGAUGGUACACAGCGGUGAUGUCUGCUGACACACAGUCAUGUGGGGCACAGUGAAGCUUGUGCCAGUGACAACCACAAGAAGAGGUGUGUGCUCGGAUGGUUUCAGAAGGCUGUCUGCACUCAGAGGAAGCCACACGUGCAGGAAGACUCCACAGGAACCCCACUGAGCUUAAACUACCUGGAGACCACAGGGCUGAGGGUAGAGCAGCAGUCACGCUCAGCAGGACACCUGAGGCCUCCUCCAGCCAGAAUGAUCCAUCACUCCCAGCCUCACAGAUACACACAGCUUUGCACUCACCAAAGCUGACUUAAUAAAUCCAUGGACCAUUUGGAGUGACAUGUUGGCAUGCUUGCUGGGCCUGAGCCCUGUUCCCUGAAGUCAGUGAGUGUAUUGCUGUGGGCAAGCCAGGGCUUGCCAGGGUUAGCUCAUAG